rnacentral:lncRNA from 1 species
AUGCGUAGCCGUCAAAACAGGUCCUCAGGAAACGGCAUGCUGGCCUCUGGGCGCAGAACCUCCACCCUUGUUUGGCUGGUGUCUUGUUGCAGCUGGUGGAUGACUUGUAGUUUUAUGUGCAGAAAAGCUCCUGUUGGGCUCCAGCCAGGCGAGUCACCACUCAAAGAGGGGGUCCAGCCGGGCCAUCAGACUCUUCAGGUGUCGCCCUGUCUGGGCCAGCUGUUGUGUCAGUUGGACCAGCUGUUGAACAGUCUGAGAUGGGAGACAGCUCAGCGAGUGGACAAGGCCUGUGUCUUGGGGAAGGUGGCUGAUGCGGCUGAGGACACGGCUGUUUCACCGGCAGAGCCAGGAUGCAAUCCCUGUCUGCCUGAUUCAAAAGAACUGCUCUUAUUUUUUACCCAGAGAAAAAGAGAGGUGACUCCUGCUUUAUAGUUGUGAGAAUCCCAUGAGAAAAUCAACACAAAGUGUCCAGCAGAACUCUCUACGCACAGUCGACAUGUUCACUCCCAGAAACUCUUCAUUGCCUUCUCUCUGUAAUCAGAAGUGACCAGUCACUGCUAAACCAUGACACUGAGAACACGGCUGGUCCCAGCCCCGCGCCUGGGCGUCACUCCACUCUCACAUGGCGCCCAGUUUCUGCUUGGUGUUCUAAGAUGGGCUUCUUGGGGUAGUGUUCCUCCUCUGGCUCCUCUCCCAUAUGGUGGUUUAAUUGCUAAGUUGUGUCCGACUUUUGCAACCCCAUGGACUGUAGCCCACCAAUCUCCUCUGUCCGUGGGAUUUUUUCCAGGCAAGAAUACUGGAGUGAAUUGCCAUUUCCUUCUGCAGGGGAUCUUCCCGACCCAGGAAUUGAACCCGUGUCUCCGUUGCAGGCAGAUUCUUUACCGACUGAGCUACCAAACGCACAAUAGCUACAAAAAUGAGAAACAGCAUGACGGUCGUGGUGGGGUUCCAAGACCAUCAUCAAUUCUUAUAAAAAAAAAUCAUUCUCUUUGAAUGUGGUGCUUAUCUGGGUACCAUGCCAAACUCAGUCUAGGACAGACACUGGGAUAAGUUGAGGGUGGGAAGAGCGUCUCCUGACUAACCCACCAGCUAUAGGAAGUUUUUCUAGACCCAAGGGUUCUCAACCUCACUGGAUCCAACUCCCCCCUUUUUUAAUGAAUACUCUAUAUUAUUACCAUGAAAUAAAAAGGUAAACCACUAUAACUUGCCUUUGAUG